AUUGAACGCUGGCGGCAGGCCUAACACAUGCAAGUCGGGCGAGUGGCGGACGGGUGAGUAAUGUAUGGGGAUCUGCCUGAUGGGGGGGGAUAACUACUGGAACCGGUCUCUACUACCGCAUACCCUCAUCUGACCCCAUAUGGUAUUAGCUGGUAGGUAAGGUACAGGCUUACCUAGGCGACGAUCCCUAGCUGGUCUGAGAGGAUGAUCAGCCACACUGGGACUGAGACACGGCCCAGACUCCUACGGGAGGCAGCAGUGGGGAAUAUUGCACAAUGGGCGCAAGCCUGAUGCAGCCAUGCCGCGGGUAUGAAGAAGGCCUUCGGGUUGUAAAGUACUUUCAGUCGGGAGGCGUUACCGACAGAAGAAGCACCGGCUAACUCCGUGCCAGCAGCCGCGGUAAUAC
rnacentral:rRNA from 1 species